rnacentral:lncRNA from 1 species
UCACAGACAAUCGAUGGACUCUCAGAGGGGUCUUGAACAAGAUUUGGACUAGAUCUUUUCGAGAUUUUUCCAUGAAGUCAUAAAAACGAGCAAUCAGGAGAUGUAGGAGACAAGUAGAAGUCUCAAACAGCCAUGUGAAUCCAUGGAUUGAUUGGGUAUCGGAGGGGUUGGGGCUGGUUUAGGUGGUGGCAGCUAGUGUUAGG